GCUCCAAGCCUGCGUGGGGAAGUUUCCCCGAGGGAAGGUGCCGAACGGAUCUGGUACAGGAAGCGACUCAGGUGCUGUAAACUACAAACAAUGACCCUGUGUUAAUACUGCAGACGUAUUGUAGUGGAACUAAAGGGAACUUAAUUUACUGGUUAACCACACUCUUCUCAGCUUUAAGCCAAACAUAAGAAGAGACAUUAAGACUUUCAUUCUUUUCUGGGUUGCCUCCUUCCUGAAGAGCAAUGGAGAUGCUGUUAAGUGGAAGAGGAUUAAUCACAUCUAUAAUUUUCUUCCUGUUAAAAUUCUCAACGGCUGUUGAUAUACCACUUUCAGUUCAACAGGUUCCAACGAUCAUAAAACAGUCAAAAGUCCAAGUUGCCUUUCCCUUUGAUGAAUAUUUUCAGAUUGAAUGUGAAGCUAAAGGAAAUCCAGAACCAACAUUUUCGUGGACUAAGGAUGACAAGCCUUUUGAUCUCUCUGACCCUCGGAUAAUUGUCUCUAACAGCUCAGGAACCUUCAAGAUCCCAAAUGAGGGGCACAUAGCUCACUUUCAAGGGAAAUACCGCUGCUUUGCUUCUAAUAAACUGGGAAUCGCUAUGUCAGAAGAAAUCGAAUUCAUAGUUCCAAAUGUUCCAAAAUUCCCAAAAGAAAAAAUUGACCCUCUUGAAGUGGAGGAGGGCGAUCCAAUCGUCCUCCCAUGCAACCCUCCCAAAGGCCUCCCGCCUUUACACAUUUAUUGGAUGAAUAUCGAAUUAGAGCACAUCAAACAAGAUGAAAGAGUAUACAUGAGCCAGAAGGGGGACCUGUACUUCGCAAAUGUGGAAGAAAAAGACAGUCGGAAUGACUACUGCUGCUUUGCUGCCUUCCCAAGAUUAAGGACUAUUGUGCAGAAAAUGCCAAUGAAACUAACAGUUAACAGUUUAAAGCAUGCUAAUGACUCAAGUUCAUCCACAGAAAUUGGUUCGAAGGCAAAUUCAAUCAAGCAAAGAAAACCCAGGCUACUGUUGCCUCCUCCCGAGAGUGGCAGUGAGUCCUCAGUUACCAUCCUCAAAGGGGACACCCUGCUGCUGGAGUGUUUUGCUGAAGGCCUACCAACUCCACAGGUUGAGUGGAACAAAAUGGGUGAUGAUUUACCAAAGGGAAAAGAAACAGAAGUAAAUGAUGGCAAUACUUUGAAGAUAGAGAAUGUCUCCUACCAGGACAAAGGAAGCUAUCGCUGCACAGCCAACAAUUUCUUGGGAUCAGCCACUCAUGAUUUUCAUGUUAUAGUAGAAGAGCCCCCUCGCUGGACAAAGAAACCUCAGAGUGGUGUGUACAGCACUGGGAGCAGUGGUAUCUUGUUGUGUGAGGCUGAAGGAGAACCUGAACCCACAGUCAAGUGGAGAGUCAACGGCUUCCCAAUUGAGAGAAAUCCAUUUUCUGGUGAUGUCAUCACCUCCGGAGAAAUCAGUUUUACCAACGUACAGCCGAACCACACCGCUGUGUACCAGUGCGAGGCCUCGAACGUCCACGGCAUGAUCCUGGCCAGUGCCAACAUCGAUGUCGUAGAUGUUCGCCCGUUGAUACAAACGGCAGAUGAAGAAAAUUACGCUACAGUGGUUGGGUACAGUGCUUUCUUGGACUGUGAGUUCUUUGCUUCACCCGAGGCAAUAGUGUCCUGGCAGAAGAUGGAAGAGGCAAAACCCCUUGAAGGCAGACGGUAUCAUAUCCACGAGAAUGGCACAUUACAGAUCAACAAGACCACAGAAGACGAUGCUGGUUCCUACUCCUGCUGGGUAGAAAAUGCGAAAGGAAAAACAGCAGUCACAGCCAAUCUGGAUAUUAGAAAUGCUACAAAACUUAGAGUUUCUCCUAAGAAUCCUCGUGUCCCCAGGUCACAUACAGUUGAAUUCCAUUGUGAGAGCAAAUGUGACUCAUAUUUGAAGCACAGUCUAAAGUUGUUCUGGAGUAAAGAUGGAGAAGCUUUUGAAAUGAACGGCACGGAGGAUGGCAGGAUAAUUAUUGAUGGAGCUAAUCUGACUAUAUCUAACGUCACCUUAGAGGACCAAGGUGUAUACUCCUGUUCAGCUCACACUGCUCUGGACAGCACUGCUGAGAUGACUCAAGUAACUGUCCUUGAUGUUCCGGAUCCACCAGAAAACCUUCACUUGUCUGACAGACAGAACAGGAGUGUUCGGCUGACGUGGGAAGCUGGGGACGACCACAACAGCAAUAUUAGCGAAUAUAUUGUAGAAUUUGAAGGGAACAAAGAGGAACCUGGAAGGUGGGAGGAACUGACUAGAGUCCAAGGAAAGGAAACAACAGUCCUGUUAUCUCUGGCUCCAUACGUGAGAUACCAGUUCAGGGUCACAGCCGUGAAUGAAGUAGGGAGAAGCCAACCCAGCCGGCCGUCAGACCAUCAUGAAACACCCCCAGCAGCUCCAGACAAGAAUCCACAAAAUAUAAGGGUUCAAGCUUCUCAACCCAAGGAAAUGAUUAUCAAAUGGGAGCCUUUGAAACCCAUGGAGCAGAAUGGACCAGGGCUGGAGUACAGAGUGACCUGGAAGCCUCAGGGAGCUCCGGUGGAGUGGGAGGAAGAAACAGUCACAAACCACACCCUGCGGGUGAUGACGCCUGCUGUCUAUGCUCCGUACGAUGUCCAAGUCCAAGCCAUCAAUCACCUGGGCUCUGGCCCUGAGCCUCAGCCAGUGAUCCUCUAUUCCGGAGAAGACUAUCCUGAUACAGCUCCCGUGAUCCAUGGGGUGGACGUUAUAAACAGCACGUUGGUUAAAGUCACCUGGUCAACAAUUCCAAAGGACAGAGUUCACGGACAUCUGAAAGGAUAUCAGGUAAAUUGGUGGAAAACGAAAAGUCUGUUGGAUGGGAGAACACAUCCCAAAGAAGUAAACAUUCUGAGAUUUUCAGGACAAAGAAACUAUGGAAUGGUUCCUUCCCUAGAUGCCUUUAGUGAAUUUCACCUAACAGUCUUAGCCUAUAAUUCCAAAGGCGCUGGUCCGGAAAGCGAGCCUUAUAUAUUUCAAACACCAGAAGGAGUACCUGAACAGCCGACUUUUCUCAAGGUCAUCAAAGUUGAUAAAGACACUGCCACUUUAUCCUGGGGACUACCUAAGAAACUGAAUGGAAACUUAACUGGCUAUCUAUUACAAUACCAGAUAAUAAAUGACACCUAUGAGAUUGGAGAACUAAACGAUAUCAAUAUUACCACUCCGUCAAAGCCCAGCUGGCGUCUGUCAAACCUCAGUGCAACUACCAAGUACAAGUUCUACCUGAGGGCGUGCACUGCAAAGGGCUGUGGAAAGCCAGUCACCGAGGAGAGCGCCACAUCAGGAGAAGGCAGUAAAAGUGUCGGGAAGAUAUCAGAAGGAGUUAAUGUUACUCAAAAGACUCAUCCAGUAGAGGUAUUUGAGCCGGGAGCUGAACACAUAGUUCGCCUACUGACUAAGAAUUGGGUUGAUAACAAUAGCAUUUUUGAAGAUGUAAUUGAGACAAGAGGGAGAGAAUACGCUGGUUUAUACGAUGACAUCUCCACUCAAGGCUGGUUUAUUGGAUUGAUGUGUGCGAUUGCUCUCCUCACACUAAUACUGUUAACUGUUUGCUUUGUGAAGAGGAACAGAGGCGGAAAGUACUCAGUGAAAGAAAAAGAAGAUCUACAUCCAGAUCCAGAAGCUCAGUCAGUGAAAGAUGAAACCUUUGGUGAAUACAGAUUCCACAGAUAAGUGAUAUAUGGUAUUUUUCUUUCUUUCUGGCUUACCUCACUUAGAAUGACUAUCUCCAGGCCCAUCCAUGUUGCUGCAGAUGGCAUUAUUUUAUUCUUGUUUAUGGCUGAGUAGUAUUCCAUUGUAUAAAUAUAGCACAACUUCUUUAUCCAGCCAUCUGUAGAUGGACAUUUACGUUGUUUCCAUGUUUUGGCUAUUGUAAAUAAUAGUGGUGUGAACAGCUAAGGAUACUAUCAAGAAAACGAAAAGACAGCCUACAGACUGGGAGAAAAUAUUUGGAAAUGAUGCAACUGACAAGGGACUAAUUUCCAAAAUAUAUAAACAGCUCAUACACCUUAAAGUCAAAAAAACAAGCAACCCAAUCAAAAAAUGGGCAGAAAACUUAGACAUCUCUCCAAAGACAACAAGACAACAUCCAGAUGGCCAACAAGCACAUGAAAAGAUGCUGGACAUCACUAAUUAUCAGAGAAAUGCAAAUUAAAACUACCAUGAGGUAUCACCUCACACCAGUCAGAAUGGCCAUCAUUCAGAAGUCCACAAAUGACAAAUGCUGGAGAGGCUGUGGAGAAAAGGAACCUUCCUACACUGCUGAUGGUAAUGUAAAUUGGUGCAGCCACUGUAGAAAAAACAGUUUGGAGAAUCCUUAAAAAACUAAAAAUAGACUUACCAUGUGAUCCAGCGAUCCUAGUCCUGGGCAUACAUCUGGAAAAAAAUAUAAUCAAAACAAAUGUACCCCAAUAUUAUAUUUCUCUGUCAAUCACCUUAGGUACUUUCCAGAAUAAGGAACACUGAAGGGAGGGCUGGGGGAGAGAAAGAAAACUUGGAAUUUUACAAAUUUAGAAAACGGUGGCUCAAAUUCCGCAAUGUAGGGGUUAUUGAGGACCUACAGCAACUGUUUAAAAUACAAAACAGAUAUUACUAGUUCAAUUUUAUAAGCAAAAAAUAUUAAGGUAUGACUUAUUCAAAACUCAUUCUGUCAUAUUCUGCUGCUUUUUUAAAAAGAUACAUAAAAUCAUCCCUGCACUAUUUCACCUGGCAGAUUUUUAAAGCAGUUAAUUCUCUAUUCCAUCAUCUUUGCUCAAAACUGCAUGUGCAUCAGGAAAAUGACCUUGUCUCCAAGUGAUUCCAGGAGACAGUUACUUAAUAUGAAUUGUCAUCCUUCCAGCUUCUGAUGCUGGUGGUAAAGUAACAUGCUACCUUUGCUCCCUUUGCUGUGUCCACAGCAAGUCCCAGGUCGAUGCGUAACUCUGAGGGCAGGCACGUACCAUCCUGCUGUGCUUCCGGACAGCUGCGAGGUGGACCUAUUGGAUGAAUACCACCAAUGACUACCGCAAACUAUAAAGUGCUAAUCACAUGCUAGUUAUAUAUUUUUUUUUUUUACAAAUUCUUCUUUGUAAAAUAGAAUAUAUAGUGAUAGAAGUUGAUAUUAAAAAAGCUCUUCAUCUAGAAAUUUAGAAGACUGUCAUUUUACUGACAUUUUACUAACUCAGACUUGCUUUUAAAGAAGAACACCCAAAUUAUAAAUACUGGAUAUUUACAGUGUUUAUGUUCUAAAAAUGCCAGCCAUGUCUUUUUUUUUCUUUUAAUAAAUCUGAGUUAAUACAGAAUUUGAUUGAUUAACCCAACCAAGAGACAUUUUGGGGAAGGAUUUGGAGGAACAUGCAGGAUUGAAGAUCAAGACCUGACGACCCAAAGGCCCAGAAGCUCAUGAACGUGAACGAAAUGUGUCACUAGAUUGUCUCAAUGUCUCAGUUACUCAAAAUGACACAACUGGUGACAGUGAUGAAAAACCUCUCAAAGGAAGCCUUCGCUCCCUUACCAGGGAGAUGCAGGCCACAGGAAGCGCCGACAGCUUAGUGGAG